ensembl:lncRNA
AUUCACUCACUCAAUCAGUCCACAAAGAUGGAGCAUUUAUUCUGGGCCAGACUCUGAUCUAGGCUCCACAGAUAGAGCCCCAAACAAGAUAGACCGAUUCAUUAUGGUCCUAGAACUUUCAGUCUUGUUGGACAACAGAACCCCCAAAAAGGGAUUAAGAAAGAAAGAAAGAACAUAAAGAGUCAGUAAGAUAACUGCAGAUGGCGGUGAGUGGUAAAAAAUGAAGAAGAGCGAGGCUGGCUCAGCUGUCAAGCAGGUCCUCUGGGAGCGUUUGCACUGAGCUGGGGCCUGAAGGAUGAGGAAGAGACAGUGGUGGCUGGAGCUGAAGAGACAGACGUCCAGGCACAGGGAACAGUAAGUGGAAAGGCCCUGAGGCGAGAACAUGAUUGGAUUUGCAAAGAACAGAAAGGAGGGCAGACCUCUUCCUGCAAUCGAGUUCAGCUCUUAGAACCCCCCAUGGGUGGCUGAUGGACAAAGCAAUAAAGCUGACUGCAUCCUGCUCCUUCCCAUGCCGUGGGGCCCUUUGCUGCUGGGGACCUGAAAGUAUUACAAAGCUCCCUGUGGAAGAGGUAGAGUCAGCAAUGGAAGCAGUUUGGGUCUGGAUGUGGAAGCUGCCUGCCCACUCGGCACACCCACGUUGGACGAUUAGGUGAGCAGACAACAAACUUUCCCUAUGUUAAGCCACUACGAUGUGGGGUUUAUUUGUUAGGGUAGCUGGCAGAACCCUACAAAUACAAUCCACUUUACACUGUGCGUAGAAAAGUGAGGACGAAGAAGCCAAACAUCCCUAAUGGGCUCUCUCUGAAAGCAGACCUGCUUUUCGGUGGCGUCACUGCUUUGUCUCUGAGUGCCUGCAGUGGGCCUUUGGAAGCUGUUGCUUUGAGAUUUGUUCCGCAGUAUGUUUCAAGUUGUUCUGCCUUAAAUUAAAAAAUCAGUAGUUUGAAUGUGGAUGCAAAUUCUUAAUAGCCUUAGCAACUGACGAAAAAUUUCCAGAUGUUUCACAAAGCACUAAAAUAUUGUACAUUGUUUUCUUUUUCAAUGGGAAAUUAUUCACAGCGCCAUAAAAAGUUGUUUUUUCAGUAAACAGAUUAUGUUUCAGUCUGCGGUGUGAACACUUAAAUGGAACGAUGCAAUAUGCCACUUUUUAAAAGAGGGUUUUAAACAUGUCAGUACAAACCUUUCAGGCCUCUGUCCCAUAAAUUCAACUUUUUAAAAUGAAAUCAACCUGAGCCCUGUGAAAGCUCUAGUACUACUAUGUCAAAACCAGUGAAAUUUGCCUGUUUAUUGCCACCUAUGGAAUGUGGCAAAGAAACAUUCUUUUCACAUGGGACAAUUUCUUCAACUUUACACCAAGUGAAAUUUAAUUGCUUUCACUUCCUGGAAUCAUUAGGCGUUAGUCCUGCAGGAGAGGAGCCCAGAGGAGAUGCUGAAAAAUAAGUCUGUGUUUAAUAUAUUUCUCCUUGGAAUUGUAUUCUCCUUCCCUUUACCGCUGUGAUGCAGCAAGUUUCAGCCUGGGCAGCCACUUUACAAACAGGAGGGAAAUUUUAGAGGAAGAAGAAAUAACAGGUAUCCUAUUGGGAAAAGAACACAUCAGAGGUAAAUUGUCCUUGAAAGCCAUGACUAGUCAUGCCUUGAUCAUUACUAUCGAACUACUGGAGUAUCCCACUCUUCCAAGUUCAUUUUUGGUGUGUUGUUGUCUUCAUAAAAAGGAGUAAGGGCAGGAGUUCCCGUCGUGGCUCAGUGGUUAACGAAUCCAACUAGGAACCAUGAGGUUGGGAGUUCGAUCCCUGGCCUAGCUCAGUGGGUUAAGGAUCCAGCGCUGCCGUGAGCUGUGGUGUAGGUUGCAGACGUGGCUCAGAUCCCGCGUUGCUGUGGCUCUGGCCUAGGCCGGUGGCUACAGCUGAUUCGACCCCUAGCCUGGGAACCUCCAUAUGCCGAGGGAGCGGCCCAAGAAAUGGCAAGAAAAAGACCAAAAAAAAAAAAAAAAAAAAAAAAAAAAA